CUCUCUCACUCCUGCUUCCACUGUGUGAUGUGCCUGCUUCCCCUUUGCCUUCCGCCAUGACUGUAAGUUUCCUGAGGCCUCCUCAAAGGCUGAGCAGAUGCCAGCACCAUGCCUCUUGCAAAGCCAGCAGAACUGUGAACCAAUGAAACCUCUUUUCUUUAUAAAUUACCUGGUCUCAGGUAUUUCUUUAUAGCAAUGCAAGAAUGGCCUAACACAGCUACAUAUCCAUCUCUAGCCCCUCAGCUGCAGAGGGGUGUCUUAGGACAAAUACAGCUUCUGGGAAGCCCCUGCUGGGGCACAGCCUCAAAAUCAGGGCACCUGCCUCCUGUCUUCCUUGGCUGUAAUCCCUUCCUGCCCACGUAUACUCCUGUCCUGUUCCUCCCUUGCUCUGACAUCCCCUAUUGCUUCGUAGCCAGUGGCAGAGCUCAAACCUUUGGUGGCAGACUCUGUCUGUCUUCCCUGGGGCCUGGAGAACCCAGAGGGAGCCCAGGAUGCCUUGGUGUGGGGUUGCAGUGGGGAGCAGUGUUCCUGAGGGCUAGGUGUGCUGACAGACCCUGAUUGAUGACAUCAAGUCUGUGCACCUGAGGCUUGGUGACCUACUCAGGCCAUGGAGGCCUGACCACAUUGGUGGCCCCUUUCCACACCCUUUUCCUAUAUGAGCUGUGGAGGCAGCUCAGCUGCCAUGGCCUUAGCUGACUGAAUGAGGAGGUGUGGGGGCAAGGGCCAUUGUGUGGCUGGGCUCCCCACCUGGACUGGGCUUCCUGGGGGUAUGCUCCUUGAUAGGCUUUUGUCCAGCUCCCCAAAGGUUCUGCUGUACAGCAAGGGCUGGCACCUUAUGUGAGCUAGGCAAGGCUGCAAAGGCGGGUGGGUACUUGUUUUGCUCAAUGGGGCAAACUUAACAGGGCCUGGGCCAUUUAUCGUGGACAGCGUUAACUCCAGUUCUGUCUGCAGAGAGGCUUUUCUUCUAGGUCCCAGCACCUCAGGUGGGAGCCUGGACUAGAGAACUCUGCUACCCACACUCCUGUGCGGGCUUCGUUCAUAGCCUUACUGCCCAUUUCCUGCAUUUUCCAUUCCCACAAUGUUGUACUUGCAGAACAGGUGCAAGAACAAUACAAGCAUGAGAAUCGCUUGAACCUGGGAGGCAGAGGUUGCAGUGAGCGGGAUCACACCAUUGCACUCCUGCCUGGGCAACAGAGCAAGACCCUGUCACAAAGCAAAACAAACAAACAGAUACGCUUCAUCCUGAUUCCUGUAUUUGCUUUAUCAUUCUCUUUCUCUCUGUCUCUCUCUCUCUCUGUCUCUCUCUCUCUCUCACACACACACACACACACACACACACACACCCUGUAAGAGUAAGUUGCAGACACAAUGUCCCUUUACUUCUAAAUUCUUGUGUAUAUUUCCUAUAAACAAAGACUUCUCUUAUAUAACCAUGGCACAGUGAUGGAAAGCAGGAAAUUAAAAUAGAUACAAUACUAUUAUCUAAUCUAGAGGCCUUACUUGGGUUUUAGCCUAUCUUCAAAUCUCUACUUCCCAUAGAUGCCUUCCACCCUCUAUGAUUAAUAAUCCUUUUCUUCAUUAAUGAGAAGACAAAUAAUUAUCACUGUUACCUGUUAAACAUCAACAAUGACUAGAGCUUGUAAUAUAAUGUUUUAUUAUUUCCAACAACAUUCCUAUGGAAAGAAUAUUUUUCUAGUUUUAUAGAUAAAAACAAAAGGAGACUCAGGGAGGUAAUGGUUUGCUCACUUUUGUGAUUUUGUGAUGUGUCAGUGCUGGGACUGAAUCCAAGUUGGGUGACAGCUGGGGCGAUGCAGCAGAAGGCAGGUCUUGCUUUUUGGUAACACAGUGAGCUUGGGAAGUCUGCAACCACAUGACUAUGAAUGAGGCUUCCUGGAACAGUAGAGGCUGAGUGAGGCCAGAGAGGAGCAGGAAGAGUUGCCAGGAGUGGGCUGCAUGACAGUUUGUUAAGCAUUUCACUGUUGACAUCUGAACCCCAACUCUGUCCCUUACCAACCAUCUCCUUAAAUUGAAUCUCAGUCUCUAUGUCUGUAGGGUGGCAAUAAUAUUUUCCCCUGUUUUUGUGAGGAUUAAAUGAUGUGGCACAUGGAAAGUACUUGGCAUAAGGUAAACUUUGGGACAGCCACUAUAAUGUGUCAAGUGGAUACACUGAAAUUUAUUCCAUCCAAGCGCUGUCUUCCUGAUCUUUUUGCACAACUUUCAGUGGAAGGAAGAGGGGCUCCAGAGACUUUCCUCAGAAAUGGCUCUCACCUGCCUCCUAUAGGGAAAUGGUGUCAGUGCAAGCAGUUGAGCCUGGACUGAUAGCACCCAGCAACCCAGCUUGUCAGACUACUGUGUCCAUAUCUGUGGGUGGCUGAGCCUAGCCACGGCCAAUGGCUGUUCCUAAUGUUUACUACCAAAACAGGGGAAAUGUGGAAAAGCCCUUUCCACCCUCUGUACUUGGAAACACCCAGGGAAGAGGGUUGGUGACAGAGGUACUGAGUGAGUGGGCAGGUGGUGGGAACUUCCUUUCACCACAGAUUAUUUAAAGCAAUGUUUCUCAGCUGGGCGCAGUGGCUUAAGCUUGUAAUCCCAGCAAUUUGGGAGGUCGAGGUGGGUGGAUCACAUGAGGCCAGGAGUUUCAGACCAGCCUGGCCAACAUGGUGAAAUCCCAUCUCUAUUAAAAAUACAAAAAUUAGCCGCGUGUAUGGAUGCAUUCCUGUAAUCCCAGCUACUCGGGAGGCUGAGGCAUGAGAAUCGCUUGAACCUGGGAGGCAGAGGUUGCAGUGAGUGGGAUCACACCAUUGCACUUCUGCCUGGGCAACAGAGUAAGACCCUGUCACAAAGCAAAACAAACAAACAAACAUAUAUAUCUGCAAAGCAAUGUUUCUCAAAACUACUGCUCCCAAAGGACAUUUUGACGUUUUUGAUUGUGCAGUGGGGAGGGGGUGGGUUGGUACUGACAUUUCUACAAAGGCCUGAGAUGCUGCCUACACAAUGUACAGGGCAGUCUCCCAACAAGAAAGAACUAUCUAACCCAAAAUGUCAAUAGUGCCAAGGUUGAGAAACCUUGAUUUAGAGUAAUGUUUAAAGUGAUGCUGUUGUUUUUCCAAUAUAUCAUCUCUUUCCCAUAAUCUCAGAUACGGCUGCUUCUAGCAUCACAACUUUGUGACCUUACUGACAACUUCCAAAGACCAAGUUUCUUUCAGUUGUAUGUGUCUUGCAAGUUCCUUUCUGAUUACAUGUGAAACUGUGCCCGACAGGGUUAAAGAAACUGGUAACUAACAGAAAUCUUGAGCUUGUCUUGCAGGGCAGCCGAUAAGGAAACAGUUUGCUAUAAUCCCCUCUGCUUAUACAACUUGCUGGAACAGGUUGGAACCAAUAUGGCUGACUGGAGCCUGUGCAAAAUAGACUUACUAGCCCGAGGAGCGGCCCUUUGAUGUCACAGCCCAAAUUCCCACAGCUUGUUUUAUACCACCUCCUGAAUCUGCAUGUGACCCUUGAAGCAGCAUGAAGAAGCAACAGCUCAUGACCAAGAGAUUUUCUAAACACUUCUUCGUUUCAGCCAAUCACCGUCCAGCCCGAAACUCCACUUCCAAAAUCUCUCCCUUAAAUCUACUGCUGCGAAGCAAGUAUUGGGAGACAGAUUUGAGCCCGUCUUCUGUCCCCUUGCAAGGCUGCUUGGCAAUACAUCUUUCUUGCUACAAAAAUCCAAUGCUUGGGUGUUUGGUUUUAUGUUGUGCGCAGGCAAAUGCAGCCGGUUUAGUUUGGUAACACGUGAUGUCACUUAAUACACAAGAAACGGGCAAGAUAUGGCAUCCUCAGGGAGCUGUGCCUCACUCAUUCCUAUCCAUAGACUUGCCUUCUUUCAACAACGCAAGCAAAAAGAAGGGUUCAUUUGGGUUGGUUCCAAGUCUUUGCUAUUGUGAACAGUGCCACAAUAAACAUACGUGUGCAUGUGUCC
rnacentral:lncRNA from 10 species